UACGUAGGGGUGCAAGCGUUAAUCGGAAUUACUGGGCGUAAAGCGUGCGCAGGCGGUUUUGUAAGUUUGUCGUGAAAGCCCCGGGCUCAACCUGGGAAUUGCGAUGAAGACUGCAAGGCUUGAAUCUGGCAGAGGGGGGUAGAAUUCCACGUGUAGCAGUGAAAUGCGUAGAGAUGUGGAGGAACACCGAUGGCGAAGGCAGCCCCCUGGGUCAAGAUUGACGCUCAUGCACGAAAGCGUGGGGAGCAA
rnacentral:rRNA from 1 species